CCCUUAGAUGUCCGGGGCCGCACGCGCGCUACAAUGGAUGAAUCAACGCGUCGUCCUGGCCCGAAAGGGUUGGGGAACCGCUGAACCUCAUCCGUGGUUGGGAUUGGGGUUUGUAAUUAUUCCCCAUGAACUAGGAAUUCCCAGUAAGCGCGAGUCAUAAGCUCGCGUUGAUUACGUCCCUGCCCUUUGUACACACCGCCCGUCGCUCCUACCGAUUGAAUGCUCAGGUGAGCCAUUCGGACCUUCAUCAUGCCGGUUUCCGGUUUUGAUGAGGGAAAGUCUUGCGAACCUUAUCAUUUAGAGGAAGGAGAAGUCGUAACA
rnacentral:rRNA from 1 species